rfam:Ovis aries breed Texel chromosome 7, whole genome shotgun sequence.
UCCCUGGUGGCUCAGAUGGUAAAGCGUCUGCCUACAAUGCCGGAGACCCGGGUUCAAUCCCUGGGUUGGGAA